rnacentral:tRNA from 1 species
GACCGGGUACCCAAGAGGUUAAGGGAAAGGUCUGCAAAACCUUUAUGCGUGGGUUCGAAUCCCAUCCCGGUCU